AGCAUUCUUCAGGGCAGGGUGAAAUUCCCGACCGGCGGUAAAGUCCGCGAGCAUUUUGCAAGAAUCGGUGAGCUUAGGUAAUUCCGAUACCGACAGUAAAGUCUGGAUGAAAGAAGAAAUUA
rnacentral:ncRNA from 2 species